GAUGAACGCUGGCGGCGUGCCUAAUACAUGCAAGUCGAGCGAACAGACGAGGAGCUUGCUCCUCUGACGUUAGCGGCGGACGGGUGAGUAACACGUGGAUAACCUACCUAUAAGACUGGGAUAACUUCGGGAAACCGGAGCUAAUACCGGAUAAUAUAUUGAACCGCAUGUUCAAUAGUGAAAGACGGUUUUGCUGUCACUUAUAGAUGGAUCCGCGCCGCAUUAGCUAGUUGGUAAGGUAACGGCUUACCAAGGCAACGAUGCGUAGCCGACCUGAGAGGGUGAUCGGCCACACGGGAAUGAAGACCCGGCCCAAACCCCCAGGGGAGGCAGCAGGAGGGAAUCUGCCGCAAUGGGGGAAAGCCUGAGGGGGCAACGCCGCGGGGGUGAUGAAGGCUUUGGGAUCUUAAAACUUUUUUAUUGGGGAAAAAAAAAUGUGUAAGUAACUAUGCACGUUUGGACGGUACCUAAUCAAAAAGCCCCGGUUAACUCCGG
rnacentral:rRNA from 1 species